AAGCGCGCGUAGGCGGCUUCUUAAGUCUGAGGUGAAAGGUUCAACGCUUAACGUGAACAGUGCCUUGGAUACUGGGGAGCUUGAGUAUGGGAGAGGGCAGUGGAAUGGCUGGUGUAGCGGUGAAAUGCGUAGAUAUCAGUCGGAACACCCAUGGCGAAGGCAGCUGCCUGGCCUAAUACUGACGCUGAGGUGCGAAAGCGUGGGGAGCGAACGGGAUUAGAUACCCCGGU
rnacentral:rRNA from 1 species